CAAUAGCGUAUAUUAAAGUUGUUGCAGUUAAAAAGCUCGUAGUUGGAUUUCGGUUGAGAACGGCCGGUCCGCCGUUUGGUGUGCACUGGCUGGUCUCAACUUCCUGUAGAGGACGCGCUCUGGGUUAACGCUCGGACGCGGAGUCUACGUGGUUACUUUGAAAAAAUUAGAGUGUUCAAAGCAAGCCAUCGCUCUGAAUACAUUAGCAUGGAAUAACAUGAUAGGACUCUGGUCUUAUUUUGUUGGUUUCUAGACCUGAAGUAAUGAUUGAUAGGGAUAGUUGGGGGUGCUAGUAUUGAGUGGCCAGAGGUGAAAUUCUUGGAUUUAUGAAAGACGAACUUCUGCGAAAGCAUUUGCCAAGGAUGUUUUCAUUAAUCAAGAACGAAAGUUGGGGGCUCGAAGAUGAUUAGAUACCA
rnacentral:rRNA from 1 species